CUACGGGCGGCAGCAGUGAGGAAUAUUGCACAAUGGGGGGAACCCUGAUGCAGCAACGCCGCGUGGAGGAUGCCGCAUUUCGGUGUGUAAACCCCUUUUAUAUGUCAAGAAAAUGACGGUAGCAUAUGAAUAAGCACCGGCUAACUCCGUGCCAGCAGCCGCGGUAAUACGGAGGGUGCAAGCGUUACUCGGAAUCACUGGGCGUAAAGGACGCGUAGGCGGGUUGGAAAGUCAGGUGUGAAAUCCUACAGCUUAACUGUAGAACUGCACUUGAAACUUCUAAUCUAGAGUAUGGGAGGGGGAGAUGGAAUUAGUGGUGUAGGGGUAAAAUCCGUAGAUAUCACUAGGAAUACCUAAAGCGAAGGCGAUCUCCUGGAACAUUACUGACGCUAAGGCGUGAAAGCGUGGGGAGCAAACAGGAUUAGAUACCCUUGUAGUC
rnacentral:rRNA from 1 species